GUUCAUGGCAGACGAGGUAGUAACACGUAGGUACAUACCCCAGAGUCGAGCAUAACCCGGAGAAAUCCGGAAUAAUUCUCGAUACACUCUUAGGAGAAAAGAUUUAUCGCUUUGGGAAUGGCCUGCGGAGUAUCAGCUUGUUGGUGGGGUAAAGGCCCACCAAGGCUAUGACGCUUAGGGGAGGUGAGAGCCUGACCCCCACCGAUGGAACUGAGACACGGUCCAUACUCCUACGGGAGGCCGCAGUCGAGAAUCUUCCGCAAUGGGCGGAAGCCUGACGGAGCGACGCCGCGUGGUGGAUGAAGCCCUUUGGGGCGUAAACACCUUUUAUGAGGGAGGAAGUUUAUUGACGUUACCUCAUGAAUAAGGGGCUCCUAAACUCGUGCCAGCAGGAGCGGUAAUACGAGUGCCCCAAGCGUUACCCGGAUUUACUGGGCGUAAAGGGUGUGUAGGCGGUUAUAUUAGUCUUCCGUUAAAGCCUCGGGCUCAACCCGAGAGAUGCGGAGGAAACGGUAUAACUUGAGGAUGCAAGAGGUUUAUGGAACUCAUGGUGUAGGGGUGAAAUCCGUUGAUAUCAUGGGGAACACCGAAAGCGAAGGCAGUAAACUGGUGCAUUCCUGACGCUGAGACACGAAAGCCAGGGUAGCGAAUGGGAUUAGAUACCCCAGUAGUCCUGGCCCUAAACGAUGAUUGUUGGCUUUUCGGAGUAUCGACCCUCUGAGAGACGAAGCUAACGCGUUAAACAAUCCGCCUGGGUAGUACGGCCGCAAGGCUAAAACUCAAAGGAAUAGACGGGGGCUCACACAAGCGGUGG
rnacentral:rRNA from 1 species